rnacentral:snRNA from 19 species
UUGGAGUGGGACCUCCCAUCGAACUCACCUCUUGCCUUUUACCAGAUGUGACCGUGGGAAUGGCCCAACAGACUCCAUUUCAAUAAUCUUUGGCAUUACCUCAUCUGGAUGGUUCC